rnacentral:rRNA from 1 species
UGGGGAAUAUUGCGCAAUGGGGGAAACCCUGACGCAGCGAUGCCGCGUGAAGGAAGAAGGCCUUCGGGUUGUAAACUUCUUUGAUCGGGGACGAAGGAAGACGGUACCCGAGGAACAAGCCCCGGCAACCUACGUGCCAGCAGCCGCGGCAAUACGUAGGUGGCGAGCGUUUUCAGGAAUUACGGGGCGUAAAGGGAGCGUAGGCGGGGGGACAAGUCAGAGGUGAAAUACUGAAGCUUAACUGCGGGGCUGCAUAUGAAACUGUUCUUGUUGAGUGUCGGAGAGGAAAGUGGAAUUCCCAGUGUAGCGGUGAAAUGCGUAGAGAUUGGGAAGAACACCAGUGGCGAAGGCGGCUUACGGGACGACAACUGACGCUGAGGCGCGAAAGCGUGGGGAGCAAACAGG